rnacentral:rRNA from 1 species
ACGAACGCUGGCGACGUGCUUAACACAUGCAAGUCGAACGGAGCACCCUUGAAUGAGACUUCGGUCAAAGGAAAGGAAUGCUUAGUGGCGGACUGGUGAGUAACGCGUGAGGAACCUGCCUUUCAGAGGGGGACAACAGCUGGAAACGACUGCUAAUACCGCAUGAUACAUUUGGGUGGCAUCAUCUGAAUGUCAAAGAUUUAUCGCUGAAAGAUGGCCUCGCGUCUGAUUAGCUGGUUGGUGAGGUAACGGCCCACCAAGGCGACGAUCAGUAGCCGACCUGAGAGGGUGACCGGCCACAUUGGGACUGAGACACGGCCCAAACUCCUACGGGAGGCAGCAGUGGGGAAUAUUGCACAAUGGGGGAAACCCUGAUGCAGCGACGCCGCGUGAGCGAAGAAGUAUUUCGGUAUGUAAAGCUCUAUCAGCAGGGAAGAAGAAAUGACGGUACCUGACUAAGAAGCACCGGCUAAAUACGUG